rnacentral:rRNA from 1 species
AACGAACGCUGGCGGCAUGCCUAACACAUGCAAGUCGAACGAGACCUUCGGGUCUAGUGGCGCACGGGUGCGUAACGCGUGGGAACCUGCCUUUAGGUUCGGAAUAACUCAGAGAAAUUUGAGCUAAUACCGGAUGAUGUCUUCGGACCAAAGAUUUAUCGCCUUUAGAUGGGCCCGCGUUGGAUUAGCUAGUUGGUGGGGUAAAGGCCUACCAAGGCGACGAUCCAUAGCUGGUCAGAGAGGAUGAUCAGCCACACUGGGACUGAGACACGGCCCAGACUCCUACGGGAGGCAGCAGUGGGGAAUAUUGGACAAUGGGCGAAAGACUGAUCCAGCAAUGCCGCGUGAGUGAUGAAGGCCUUAGGGUUGUAAAGCUCUUUUAACCGAGAUGAUAAUGACAGUAUCGGGAGAAUAAGCUACGGCUAACUCCGUG